UUCUGGAAUGUUCUGCAUCAAAGUGGAAGGUGGUUGGAGCCGUUGAAGGAAGGAACAUCUGCAGGAAGAAGCUGAGGCAGAGAGAAGAUAAAGGAUUCAGUGAGGCACCACGAAGAACUCCAGGAUGAGACAACACUCAACAUGAGGAGAUAAGAUGGAAGC